AUACUUACCUGGCAGGGGAGACGCCAUGAUCAUGGUUUUCCCAGGGUGAGGCUCAUCCAUUGCACUUACGCUGUCCUGACCCCUGUGAUUUCCCCAAAUGCGGGAAACUCGACUGCAUAAUUUGUGAUAGGGGAGGACUGUGUUCACGUUUUCCCCUG